rnacentral:rRNA from 1 species
UGGGGAAUAUUGGACAAUGGGCGAAAGCCUGAUCCAGCAAUGCCGCGUGUGUGAAGAAGGUCUUCGGAUCGUAAAACUCUGUUGGUAGAGAAGAACGUUGGUGAGAGUGGAAAGCUCAUCAAGUGACGGUAACUACCCAGAAAGGGACGGCUAACUACGUGCCAA